GAUGAACGCUAGCUACAUGCUUAACACAUGCAAGUCGAGGGACCGGCGCACGGGUUAGUAACACGUAUCCAACCUGCCCUUUACUCGGGGAUAGCCUUUCGAAAGAAAGAUUAAUACCCGAUGUAAAGGAUGGGGAUGCGUUCCAUUAGGUUGUUGGUGAGGUAACGGCUCACCAAGACUUCGAUGGAUAGGGGUUCUGAUAGGAAGGUCACCCACAGUGGAACUGAGACACGGUCCAAACGCCGACGGGAGGCAGCAGUGAGGAAUAUUGGGCAAUGGGCGUUAGCCUGAACCAGCCAAGUAGCGUGAAGGAUGAAGGCUUAUGGGUCGUAAACUUCUUUUAUAUAAGAAUAUGUAUUAUAUGAAUAAGGAUCGGCUAACUACGUGCCAGCAGCCGCGGUAAUAC
rnacentral:rRNA from 1 species